rnacentral:rRNA from 1 species
UACGUAGGGGGCUAGCGUUGUCCGGAUUUAUUGGGCGUAAAGCGCGUGUAGGCGGCCAGAUAGGUCUGCUGUGAAAACUCGAGGCUCAACCUCGAGCUGUCGGCGGAAACCAUUUGGCUAGAGUCCGGAAGAGGAGAGUGGAAUUCCCGGUGUAGCGGUGAAAUGCGCAGAUAUCGGGAAGAACACCCGUGGCGAAGGCGGUUCUCUGGGACGGUACUGACGCUGAGACGCGAAAGCGUGGGGAGCGAACAGG